GAUGAACGCUGGCGGCGUGCCUAAUACAUGCAAGUCGAGCGAACAGAUGAGGGGCUUGCUCCUCUGACGUUAGCGGCGGACGGGUGAGUAACACGUGGAUAACCUACCUAUAAGACUGGGAUAACUACGGGAAACCGGAGCUAAUACCGGAUAAUAUAUUGAACCGCAUGGUUCAAUAGUGAAAGACGGUUUUGCUGUCACUUAUAGAUGGAUCCGCGCCGCAUUAGCUAGUUGGUAAGGUAACGGCUUACCAAGGCAACGAUGCGUAGCCGACCUGAGAGGGUGAUCGGCCACACUGGAACUGAGACACGGUCCAGACUCCUACGGGAGGCAGCAGUAGGGAAUCUUCCGCAAUGGGCGAAAGCCUGACGGAGCAACGCCGCGUGAGUGAUGAAGGUCUUCGGAUCGUAAAACUCUGUUAUUAGGGAAGAACAAACGUGUAAGUAACUAUGCACGUCUUGACGGUACCUAAUCAGAAAGCCACGGCUAACUACGUG
rnacentral:rRNA from 1 species